GCCUGGGUGGCUCAGUCGGUUGAGCGUCUGAUUUCAGCUCAGGUCAUGAUCUCUCGGUUCAUGGGUUUGAGCCCCGCAUCAAGCU
rnacentral:tRNA from 1 species